CCAGACUCCUACGGGAGGCAGCAGUGAGGAAUAUUGGUCAAUGGUCGGGAGACUGAACCAGCCAAGCCGCGUGAGGGAUGAAGGUACAGAGUAUCGUAAACCUCUUUUGUCAGGGAACAAAGGCGGGGACGCGUCCCCGGAUGAGUGUACCUGAAGAAAAAGCAUCGGCUAACUCCGUGCCAGCAGCCGCGGUAAUACGGAGGAUGCGAGCGUUAUCCGGAUUUAUUGGGUUUAAAGGGUGCGCAGGCGGCCUGUUAAGUCAGCGGUAAAAGCCCGGGGCUCAACCCCAGCGAGCCGUUGAAACUGGCGGGCUGGAGUUGGAGAGAAGUACGCGGAAUGCGCGGUGUAGCGGUGAAAUGCUUAGAUAUCGCGCAGAACCCCGAUUGCGAAGGCAGCGUACCGGCUCCACACUGACGCUGAGGCACGAAAGCGUGGGUAUCGAACAGGAUUAGAUACCCCAGUA
rnacentral:rRNA from 1 species